rnacentral:rRNA from 1 species
UCUAAUACCGGAUACUGACCUGCCAAGGCAUCUUGGUAGGUCGAAAGCUCCGGCGGUGAAGGAUGAGCCCGCGGCCUAUCAGCUUGUUGGUGAGGUAAUGGCUCACCAAGGCGACGACGGG